rnacentral:rRNA from 1 species
AUUGAACGCUGGCGGAAUGCUUUACACAUGCAAGUCGAACGGCAGCACGGACUUCGGUCUGGUGGCGAGUGGCGAACGGGUGAGUAAUAUAUCGGAACGUGCCCAGUCGUGGGGGAUAACGUAGCGAAAGCUACGCUAAUACCGCAUACGAGCUACGGAUGAAAGCGGGGGAUCGCAAGACCUCGCGCGAUUGGAACGGCCGAUAUCAGAUUAGGGAGUUGGUGAGGUAAAGGCUCACCAAGCCGACGAUCUGUAGCUGGUCUGAGAGGACGACCAGCCACACUGGGACUGAGACACGGCCCAGACUCCUACGGGAGGCAGCAGUGGGGAAUUUUGGACAAUGGACGCAAGUCUGAUCCAGCCAUUCCGCGUGCAGGACGAAGGCCUUCGGGUUGUAAACUGCUUUUGUACAGAACGAAAAGGUCUCUAUUAAUACUAGGGGCUCAUGACGGUACUGUAAGAAUAAGCACCGGCUAACUACGUGCCAGCCGCCGCCGUAA